GCAAUGAUGACUUUGUUGGUUUGAUCAGAAAUGAGCUGAAACUACUCAACCGAUUCCUCUAAGAAGUUCUGAGCUC
rnacentral:snoRNA from 1 species